GACAGAGGGUGCAAACGUUGUUCGGAAUUACUGGGCGUAAAGCGCGCGUAGGCGGCUUUGCAAGUCGGGUGUGAAAUCCCCAGGCUCAACCUGGGAACUGCAUUCGAGACUGCAUUGCCAGAGUAUGGGAGAGGGAAGUGGAAUUCCUGGUGUAGCGGUGGAAUGCGCAGAUAUCAGGAGGAACACCGAUGGCGAAGGCAGAUCUCUGGGCCGUAACUGACGCUGAGGAGCGAAAGCAUGGGGAGCGAACAGG
rnacentral:rRNA from 1 species